rnacentral:rRNA from 1 species
GACGAACGCUGGCGGCGUGCUUAACACAUGCAAGUCGAACGAUGAACCCGGAGCUUGCUCUGGGGGAUUAGUGGCGAACGGGUGAGUAACACGUGAGUAACCUGCCCUGGACUCUGGGAUAAGCGUUGGAAACGACGUCUAAUACCGGAUAGGACCUUGGAUCGCAUGAUCUGGGGUGGAAAGUUUUUUCGGUCUGGGAUGGACUCGCGGCCUAUCAGCUUGUUGGUGAGGUAAUGGCUCACCAAGGCGUCGACGGGUAGCCGGCCUGAGAGGGUGACCGGCCACACUGGGACUGAGACACGGCCCAGACUCCUACGGGAGGCAGCAGUGGGGAAUAUUGCACAAUGGGCGAAAGCCUGAUGCAGCAACGCCGCGUGCGGGAUGACGGCCUUCGGGUUGUAAAACGCUUUUAGUAGGGAAGAAGGGCUUCGGCUUGACGGUACCUGCAGAAAAAGGACCGGCUAACUACGUG